rnacentral:rRNA from 1 species
CCUACGGGAGGCAGCAGUGAGGAAUAUUGGUCAAUGGGCUUAAGCCUGAACCAGCCAAGUCGCGUGAGGGAAGAAUGCCCUAUGGGUUGUAAACCUCUUUUGCCAGGGAGCAACGCCGGCCACGUGUAGACGGACUGAGAUUACCUGAAGAAAAAGCAUCGGCUAACUCCGUGCCAGCGGCCGCGGUAAUACGGAGGAUGCGAGCGUUAUCCGGAUUUAUUGGGUUUAAAGGGUGCGUAGGCGGCAUGCCAAGUCAGCGGUAAAAUCGCGGGGCUCAACCGCGCUCCGCCGUUGAAACUGGCGUUCUUGAGUGGACGAGAGGUAGGCGGAAUGCGUGGUGUAGCGGUGAAAUGCAUAGAUAUCACGAAGAACUCCGAUUGCGAAGGCAGCAUGCCGGGGCCCAACUGACGCUGAGGCUCGAAGGCGUGGGUAUCGAACAGGAUUAGAUACCCUUGUAGUC